rnacentral:rRNA from 1 species
GAUGAACGCUGGCGGCGUGCCUAAUACAUGCAAGUCGAGCGAAGCGGGGACGGGUGAGUAACACGUGGAUAACCACCUAUAAGACUGGGAUAAAUUAGGGAAACCGGAGCUAAACCGGAUACUAAUACAUGGAUCCGCGCUGCAUUAGCUAGUUGGUAACGUAAAGGCUUACAAAGGCAACGAUGCAUGGCCGACCGGAGAGGGUGCGCGGCCGCACUGGAACUGAGACACGGUCCAGACUCCUACGGAAGGCAGCAGGGGGGAAUCUUCCGCAAUGGGCGAAAGCCUGACGGAGCAACGCCGCGUGAGUGAUGAAGGUCUUCGGUUCGUAAAACUCUGUUAUUGGGGAAGCGGUACCGAAUCAGAUAGCCACGGCUAACUACGUGCCAGCAGCCGCGGUAAGAC